AGUGAACGCUGGCGGUAGGCCUAACACAUGCAAGUCGAACGGCAGCACAGAGGAGCUUGCUCCUUGGGUGGCGAGUGGCGGACGGGUGAGGAAUACAUUGGAAUCUACUCUGUCGUGGGGGAUAACGUAGGGAAACUUACACUAAUACCGCAUACGACCUACGGGUGAAAGCAGGGGACCUUCGGGCCUUGCGCGAUUGAAUGAGCCGAUGUCGGAUUAGCAAGUUGGCGGGGUAAAGGCCCACCAAGGCGACGAUCCGUAGCUGGUCUGAGAGGAUGAUCAGCCACACUGGAACUGAGACACGGUCCAGACUCCUACGGGAGGCAGCAGUGGGGAAUAUUGGACAAUGGGCGCAAGCCUGAUCCAGCCAUACCGCGUGGGUGAAGAAGGCCUUCGGGUUGUAAAGCCCUUUUGUUGGGAAAGAAAUCCAGCUGGCUAAUACCCGGUUGGGAUGACGGUACCCAAAGAAUAAGCACCGGCUAACUUCGUGCCAGCCGCCGCAGUAA
rnacentral:rRNA from 1 species